rnacentral:lncRNA from 1 species
AGCAUUAUAGCUGUUCUGUCUCCUGGAGACCAAAGCUGGCUUGGAGGAAAAAAUGAUGCCCACAGUCUUGGGAAAAAUACCUGCUGGGAAGGAUGGCAUCUUUUCUGCGCGGUGGGGCUCCCGGAGAACUGGGCAUGCGCAUUGUGCCGUGGGGCUUAGGAUGAGUUGGACACGCGCACUGACAAUGCCUAGGACUGCCUUACUCCCUUCCCUCAGGCCAGUUCCUGGGCCAGCACUAGCCUUGAAUUUGCUCAUCCGCUUGAAACCUACUGGGGGAUGGGGCCCGUGCCUUUCUGACCUACCCUGUCCUAUAUGGUCCUCGUGUUGGCUUAUCCCAGGAGCCUACUUCCCAGAGUCCUGCCUAGGGCACCCGGGGAAGCCCGUCCCCACUUCCCCACUCUGUAAGUGUUUUGGAGUCUGACUAUUGCAGACACCCUCUGGCUGGGCUGCUCAGGGUGACAUCAUAGCACCUCUGGGAAUGCUGCCGAAGAACCCCAUGGUCCUCCCACAAUACCAAAGCUUCCCUGUUUCCCCUUCUGCCUCCGUUUCCCCAGCAGGACCACACUGCCUGUGGGACAAAGGACAGGAUGUAUGAAUUUAGGCCAAAGGUCCUAUGGUCCAUUUGCAGGGUUGGAAAGGCCCUUGCCAUCUCUUAGGCCUCCAUUUAAGCCCAUGGGGGCCCCUAGGGGUGGCAUUGUACUGAUAAAUAAAUAUAUAUAAUAUAUACAUGAGACAUACUGAUAGAAUCUGUAAGCUAAUAAAAAAUAUAAGAAAAAGGUUAAAAAAAAAAGAAUAGGUAAAUUGACAAGAAAUAUUUAUUGUUUUCCCUUAUUGCCUUAUUGUCCCUGGCCACAAACUGUUCAUCUCUUCUCUAAUGUGUAAGUGGAGCCUGAACUGCAGGGGCUCUUUAUAUUCCAAACAACCCAGGGUUAGCCUUGGCCUCGAUCCUGGCCUUGGCCUCCCUAGGCUAUAUCUGGGACUGGGGGGAUGACAUGCUCCCACUCUGGCUCCUUGUUCUCUGGCAAACCGUAGCGUGGCUGCCAGCAUCCUGUAGCGCGGAUAGCUGCUUCCAUGGCCACAGGCCUGAACCGGUGUGUAUUUGGGGAUCUGGAUGUGUAUGGCCACGGUGUGGCAGCUUUUGGAUUUUUUUCCUCCGGGGAGCAUUGACUGUGUGGACAUUGUUUGAGGAGCUAGAAAGAAGAUCGGCUGGGGAUCACGAGCCCCUACUUCCCAAAGAAUAAAUGGGCUUAGUGAUCAAGGUUCUUCAAGGGGUCUUUCUCCCUCUGAGAUAUUCAAGGCAAAUGUCUGGAUGUCGCAUUUCCUCACCCCCCACCUCAUGAAUCCUACUUCUCCCCAACAUAGAAGUAGACAUUUCUCAUCCCAUUCUUUGUAAAUGUCCACACCCUACCGCAAAGUCUGGGGAGUCUUCUGGCUGGAAUGCUGUUCACGUCUGCAUCCAGCCCUGGGAUCGGCCUUCGUGUAUGGUUUCACCUUCCCAUGCUGCACUCUUUCCUGAGCCAUGUGGGAGUCGUGUGAAUGACCAAGGCAGAUGCUAGCAAGUGGUGCUUCCUUCUCAGCACGUCUCUAGGAAGCAUGGACACCCGAGUGUGGCUUUUCUCAAAGAAAGGUGAAGAAGGGGCCUCAGUUCUUACAGUGGGGACCACACUGCUGCCUGCCCCCUUCCCAACUGUGAUUCUCACACACUCACAUGCGUGCACACACACACACACACACAGACCACACGUGCACACAGCACUCCAUAUGCAACUCUGUAUUCUUGCCAAAGAUUUCCUUUAAACAAGAGCACUUUUACCC